UCUCACAUUUAUUCACUUUACUCAAAUCAUUUGUUCAAACCUUGUUCAGACUCCCACAACUUUAUCUUGUUGUUUCGUGGAUGAGAGAGGAAGUUUUGAUUCUGUGACUCUUUUGUUAUCUUCACCCAAACUACAACAGACCUGCUGCUGUCUGUUAGCUCAGCAGAACCACCUGAUGCUAACAGUGUUUGCUCAGCAGAACCACCUGAUGCUAACAGUGUUAGCUCAGCAGAACUAGGAGGACUUUAUAUCAUCAGGAGCCAGAACCAGAAUCAGAAUUUCCUUUAUUUUUCCUGCAAACAGGGAAAUCUCUUCAUCACAGAUGAUUAUAUCUCAUAAUCUCCUGCUCCUGUGAACAGACGUCGAUCAGGUCAACACCUGAAAGUGAGAACAACAGCUGCUACCAUCGGAGGGAAACCAGAAGAAACAAGAGUCACCAGUUUUAUUAAAAUCUGUAUUUUAUAAAAGAAAACAUAAAAAUAUUUAGUCACAUGUGCAAAAGUCACAUUCUGUGUGAAACUGUUGGAAUGAAUGAAUCCUCUUCUUUCAUUUACAAACAGGAAAAAUAUGUUUUCAUCAUUUACAGUCAACACAAGAGCAUCAUGGGAAAAUAAUGUGUAAAACAUUCAGACAGGAUUUAUUUAAAGUUUGGAUGAAAUAAAGCUCAUUGACUCAGGUGUCAGCUCAGGUGCUAAUGUGAAAGGUUGAGUAAAGUUGAGUAAAACCUG